rnacentral:rRNA from 1 species
AUUGAACGCUGGCGGCAUGCCUUACACAUGCAAGUCGAACGGUAACAGGUCUUCGGAUGCUGACGAGUGGCGAACGGGUGAGUAAUACAUCGGAACGUGCCCGAGAGUGGGGGAUAACGAAGCGAAAGCUUUGCUAAUACCGCAUACGAUCUCAGGAUGAAAGCAGGGGACCGCAAGGCCUUGCGCUCACGGAGCGGCCGAUGGCAGAUUAGGUAGUUGGUGGGAUAAAAGCUUACCAAGCCGACGAUCUGUAGCUGGUCUGAGAGGACGACCAGCAACGCUGGGACUGAGACACGACCCAGACUCCUACGGGAGGCAGCAGUGGGGAAUUUUGGACAAUGGGCGCAAGCCUGAUCCAGCCAUGCCGCGUGCAGGAUGAAGGCCUUCGGGUUGUAAACUGCUUUUGUACGGAACGAAAAGACUCCUUCUAAUAAAGGGGGUCCAUGACGGUACCGUAAGAAUAAGCACCGGCUAACUACGUGCCAGCCGCCGCGGUAACAC